UUCCUCUGUUGAUUACAGUAAACUUUCUUCAACGGAAUCUUCACAGUCACCCGAUACAAUGCAAGAUGCAAAAACAGGUAUUAAGGUUGCUCAUGGUGAAUCGAGAAGUACAAUUAAAGGGAAGAAUGGACUUCAAUGCAGUCUCUGGAAAUUCAAUAUCUGAUGAUUUGAAAACGGUUUCCUCCUUAUUAAGUGGCGUUUCUGAUUCGGAUCCAGACUUCAGUUCGUCUGGUUCUGAAGGGUUGAACAUGAUGGGGAGGAAAGGAAAAAGCGGCGAGAGAGAAUUCUAGCUCAGAAAGCAGCAUCUAAAGCAAUAGAGGCUAUCAAAGAACGGGAGGAUAUGGUAGCGAAAGUGGAGGGUGAGAAACAAAGCUUGGAGAAAAUACUGGAGGAGAGAGCUAAACAGAAGAAGAAGAGGCUUCACAGCUUCAAACCACUGUGAUGGAAACAAUGGAAGCUGUUAAGGUAGAAAGCGCAAAAACAUAAUAAUACUAGAAUGGAGGUCCUUGUCUUUUCAGCUAAACUGGAGGUAUGUCCACCCAAUUAAGCCAUUUUUUGUGCCAAAUAUUAAUGCAUGUUUAUCUUAUUACAUGUUUCAGUAGUUGAUGUUCCAGUAAAUAAAUCAUGAGGAGUAUGUUUAAAUUUGUUUUUCAUGAAUGGCUUGAUUAAUUUUGUUGAUAAAUAUCUGGGAGGUUUGCAGACAUCAAAUGCUUAUCUUGCACGAUCCCUCUGUGGAACCUUGAAGUAGAGCUUGUAUGCAGAUUGCUUAUUUUAUUUCUCUAACAUAUUAAAAGAACCACAGCACAAGGAGGCUUCCAGCUCAAGUGCGGGGGGAUAACACAAGAUUGGCAAGGGAAUCAAGAUUAAAGAGCUCUGGUUCUUGAUCAACGGUGAAUGUCAAUACGGGGGAAAUUCUUGAGCAGGCACUUUCCUAAUUAUAAUAUGGAAAAAAAAAGGGGCUCUAAUGAUAAUGUAUUCUUGAUGCUAAUCUAAGUCCAUAAACAGCGCGUUGAAAUCAAAGAGAGACGUAAUGCUUUAAAGUUUAACGAAGUUAUUGAAAUUGCGGAGGGGGGGGGGUACCUGAAAUCUUGGAGGCACGCCAAUAAUUGAUCCGAAGCAAGAUUAAAUUCAAUUCGCGAACGACUAAGUGAUGAUUCAGAAAUCUUGGAGGCACGCCAAUAAUUGAUCCGAAGUAAGAUUAAAUUCGAUUCGCGAACGACUAAGUGAUGAUUCAGAAAUCUUGGAGGCACGCCAAUAAUUGAUCCGAAGUAAGAUUAAAUUCGAUUCGCGAACGACUAAGUUAUGAUUCAG